rnacentral:misc_RNA from 1 species
AACCUAGCACACCUGCGGUGUGUACCUGCGGAGGGAUCAUUACCUAGAGUUGUAGGCUUUGCCUGCUAUCUCUUACCCAUGUCUUUUGAGUACCUUACGUUUCCUCGGUGGGUUCGCCCGCCGGUUGGACAAAACUUAAACCCUUUGUAGUUGCAAUCAGCGUCUGAAAAAACUUAAUAGUUACAACUUUUAACAAUGGAUCU